GAUGAACGCUGGCGGCGUGCCUAAUACAUGCAAGUCGAGCGAACAGACGAGGAGCUUGCUCCUCUGACGUUAGCGGCGGACGGGUGAGUAACACGUGGAUAACCUACCUAUAAGACUGGGAUAACUUCGGGAAACCGGAGCUAAUACCGGAUAAUAUAUUGAACCGCAUGGUUCAAUAGUGAAAGCCGGUUUUGCUGUCACUUAUAGAUGUAUCCGCGCCGCAUUAGCUAGUUGGUAAGGUAACGGCUUACCAAGGCAACGAUGCGUAGCCGACCUGAGAGGGUGAUCAGCCACACUGGAACUGAGACACGGUCCAGACUCCUACGGGAGGCAGCAGUAGGGAAUCUUCCGCAAUGGGCGAAAGCCUGACGGAGCAACGCCGCGUGAGUGAUGAAGGUCUUCGGAUCGUAAAACUCUGUUAUUAGGGAAGAACAAAUGUGUAAGUAACUAUGCACGUCUUGACGGUACCUAAUCAGAAAGCCACGGCUAACUACGUG
rnacentral:rRNA from 1 species